GAUUCUGGCUCAGAACGAACGCUGGCGGCGCGUUUAAGCAUGCAAGUCGAGCGGCAAGGGCCUUCGGGCCCCUAGAGCGGCGGACGGGUGAGUAACACGUGGACAAUCUGCCCCCCGGCCCGGGAUAGCCCAGGGAAACCUGGAUUAAUACCGGAUGAGACGGGACCCGCGAUGGCGGGACCCGGGAAAGGCGCUGCGGCGCCGCCGGGGGAUGAGUCUGCGUCCCAUUAGCUAGACGGCGGGGUAACGGCCCACCGUGGCGACGAUGGGUAGCCGGCCUGAGAGGGUGGACGGCCACAUUGGAACUGAGACACGGUCCAGACUCCUACGGGAGGCAGCAGCUAAGAAUCUUCCGCAAUGGGCGAAAGCCUGAACCGGAGCGACGCCGCGUGAACGAAGAAGGCCGUGAGGUUGUAAAGUUCUUUUCGGGAGGGGGAACAACCGUGGCAGGGAAUGGCCGCGGGGUGACGUGAAUCCCGGAAUAAGCCCCGGCUAACUACGUGCCAGCCGCCGC
rnacentral:rRNA from 1 species